GGCGCUGCGCAGCACCUGAGGGCGCGGCCGUAACGGCUGCAGCUCCAGAGCGGAGAGGUGGCUUGCCGCCUGCUGCUCCAGCACAGCUUGAUUACCUCUGCGGGGAAACGUUUCUUACGUAUUUAUGGGAUCAGGUUGCGAUGAAGGUGUCAUUCCCCAUCCUUUCCUCUCCGUGCUGGUGGGGGUUCCCCAGGAAGGCACGCAAGUGCUGCCUGGAAAAUGGAGGCGCCGCUCAGCCGGGUCUUUGUGAAGGGGAGAGCGGCUGGGAGCACCGACCUGGUCGUGAGGGGAGAGCUGACCCUGCCCAUGGCGAGCAGGCAGGGUGAGCAGAGGCCGGGGGAGGAGGCAGCCCUGGGUAUGCCGGUGCCACUCGGUGUGGUUGAAUACAGCAGUGCGUUUUGUGGUCCAGAGAGCCAUUUUACAGAAGGACUGCUGUGUGAUACACAUCCACCAUUGAUUUUUCUGCAAGGAACAGAAGCAGAUCCCUUAAAUCUACCGUGAAUGUAUUGGUCUUCUAUUACUGCAAGUCCCCAUCUUUUUGAAUUGAAAAGAGAAAGAGCAGAGGCUUUUCUUAAACAUUUCCCACUUCUUCCUAACAUUGCCAUGGUAAGAAUGCCACAUCUGACAGCACUGCCUCAGCAGAACAAGCACUGAAAACAAAGGAAGCAUUAACCAGUGAGGAACCAGAGAGGGUCGCUUUUUUCUCCAUCAGAUUUUAAGUAUCUUUGAAAGCCAUGUUGGUCGAUUUACAUUUUGUACAUACUGCAAAGAAUGGUACAUUAAGAUAAAUGAUGUGUUGUCAUGCCUUCCAGUGUUACAGUGGGUGACAGGCAAACUUAGAGAUCCAUGUAUGCUUUACAGAACAGUACAUCCAUUCAAAUAAACUCAUACAAAACUAA
rnacentral:lncRNA from 1 species